UGGGGAAUCUUCCGCAAUGGACGAAAGUCUGACGGAGCAACGCCGCGUGAGUGAAGAAGGUUUUCGGAUCGUAAAACUCUGUUGUCAGGGACGAAUGUUUAGACUGUAAAUAAUGGUAUAAAAUGACGGUACCUGACAAGAAAGCCACGGCUAACUACGUGCCAGCAGCCGCGGUAAUACGUAGGUGGCAAGCGUUGUCCGGAAUUACUGGGCGUAAAGGGAGUGUAGGCGGUUUGAUAAGAUAGGGGUGAAAUCCCAGAGCUCAACUCUGGAAUUGCCUUUAUAACUAUCAGGCUUGAAUUAUAGAGAGGAUAGUGGAAUACCCAGUGUAGAGGUGAAAUUCGUAGAUAUUGGGUAGAACACCAGUGGCGAGGGCGACUAUCUGGCUAUAUAUUGACGCUGAGGCUCGAAAGCAUGGGGAGCAAACA
rnacentral:rRNA from 1 species